UACAGAGGUCUCGAGCGUUGUUCGGAUUCAUUGGGCGUAAAGGGUGCGUAGGUGGCGUGGUAAGUCUGGUGUGAAAUCCCGGGGCUUUAACCUGGGAACUGCAUUUGUGACUGCAUGGCUGGAGUGCGGCAGAGGGGGGAUGGAAUUCCGCGUGUAGCAGUGAAAUGCGUAGAUAUGCGGAGGAACACCGAUGGCGAAGGCAAUCCCCUGGGCCUGCACUGACGCUCAUGCACGAAAGCGUGGGGAGCAAACAGG
rnacentral:rRNA from 1 species